UGAGAUGAAGAAAAAGCACCUCCACUGAGUGAUGAUGACACGCCCACGGUCUGAUC
rnacentral:ncRNA from 14 species